UGCGUAGGCGGACUAUUAAGUCAGUGGUGAAAUCUCUCGGCUCAACCGAGAAACUGCCAUUGAAACUGAUAGCCUUGAGUGUAGUUGUAGUAGGCGGAAUAUAGCAUGUAGCGGUGAAAUGCUUAGAUAUGCUAUAGAACAUCGAUCGCGAAGGCAGCUUACUAAACUAUCACUGACGCUCAUGCACGAAAGCGUGGGGAGCAAACAGGAUUAGAUACCCUGGUAGUCC
rnacentral:rRNA from 1 species